rnacentral:tRNA from 1 species
GCCUUCGUGGUGUAGUGGUCAGCACGCUCGGCGCAUGUUCGAGAGGUCCGAGGUUCGAGUCCCGGCGAGGGUA